UUAGAUCAAUAGAUGUGGACCGCACGAUGGAGUUAGAAUGAAUCUGAUUGGGGAACAGGGGUGUUCCAUUGGGAAGACAUUAUCUCUUCCUCACUAUCUGUUUUCUUCGUCAAGCCGAUUCUGAUUCGGAGCCUUCUCAGUCACAUAUCUCUUCUCACUCUCUCUGGAAUUCGGGCGAAGAUAGAGUCCGAUCGGAAGAGGAAGAAGUCUCCGGUGGUGCCGGCGGAGCAGAAGGAGAAGCAUAAGCCGUAUUUGAACAAAAGGAAGAAGAUGUCGUACUGUGGCAAUAGCGACGGUGGUGAUGGAGCUGAGAAUACUUCAAAUACUGCUAGAGGAUGGGAACCAUCUUGAUAAAUUUGGUUGUUAAAGGGGUGUUUUCAUUUGUACUGUGAGUCAAGUAGAGGAUAUGGGAACUACAGCUGCUGGAUAUAACAGAGUAGUAGAAGAGAAUGGAAAAUUAUUUAUCAUGGUUCAAGAUCUGAAAGGUUUAAUUUUUAAUUGUUUAUUUAAUUAAUGGCCAUUUUCUCUUUAUACAUUAUUGAG